UUAUCAAUAAGCGGAGGAAAAGAAACUAACAAGGAUUCCCUCAGUAACGGCGAGUGAAGCGGGAAUAGCUCAAAUUUAAAAUCUGGCGUAAAAGCCCGAAUUGUAGUCUAAAGAGGCGUUAUCGGACAUUUGGUUAUCGUACAAGUUCCCUGGAAUGGGACAUCACAGAGGGUGAGAAUCCCGUCUGGACGAUAAGCUAGUGGACAUAUGAGACGUUCUCAAAGAGUCGAGUUGUUUGGGAUUGCAGCUCAAAAUGGGAGGUAAAUUUCUUCUAAGGCUAAAUAAUGGCAAGAGACCGAUAGCGCACAAGUA
rnacentral:rRNA from 1 species